rnacentral:rRNA from 1 species
UACGAAGGGGGCUAGCGUUGUUCGGAAUUACUGGGCGUAAAGCGCACGUAGGCGGACUAUUAAGUCAGGGGUGAAAUCCCGGGGCUCAACCCCGGAACUGCCUUUGAUACUGGUAGUCUCGAGUCCGGAAGAGGUGAGUGGAAUUCCGAGUGUAGAGGUGAAAUUCGUAGAUAUUCGGAAGAACACCAGUGGCGAAGGCGGCUCACUGGUCCGGUACUGACGCUGAGGUGCGAAAGCGUGGGGAGCAAACAGG